rnacentral:miRNA from 1 species
AAACAGAUGACCCAGGGAUCUUAUUAAAAUGCAGACUAUGACAGUAGGUGUGGAGUGGGAUAUGAGAAUCUACAUUUCUAACAAGUUCUCAGCUGCUGCUGAU